GACGAACCGUGCGAACGUUGUUCGGAUUCACUGGGCUUAAAGGGCGCGUAGGCGGCUUGCCAAGUCAGGGGUGAAAUCUUUCGGCUCAACCGGAAAAGUGCUUCUGAUACUGGCGGGCUGGAGGAGGGUAGGGGCAGAUGGAACUUCCGGUGGAGCGGUGAAAUGCGUAGAUAUCGGAAGGAACGCCGGUGGCGAAGGCGGGUCUCUGGGCCGAUACUGACGCUGAGGAGCGAAAGCGUGGGGAGCGAACAGG
rnacentral:rRNA from 1 species